AUGAACGCUAGCGGCAGGCUUAAUACAUGCAAAGUCGUGGGGCAGCGCAGGUAGCAAUACUGGGCGGCGACCGGCAAACGGGUGCGGAACACGUACACAACCUUCCGAGAAGUGGGGAAUAGCCCAGAGAAUUUGGAUUAAUACCCCGUAACAUAACGAUGUGGCAUCACAUUGUUAUUAUAGCUUCGGCGCUUCUUGAUGGGUGUGCGGCUGAUUAGAUAGUUGGCGGGUAACGGCCCACCAAGUCUACGAUCAGUAGCUGAUGUGAGAGCAUGAUCAGCCACACGGGCACUGAGACACGGGCCCGACUCCUACGGGAGGCAGCAGUAAGGAAUAUUGGUCAAUGGACGCAAGUCUGAACCAGCCAUGCCGCGUGAAGGAUUAAGGUCCUCUGGAUUGUAAACUUCUUUUAUCUGGGACGAAAAAAGGCGAUUCUUCGUCACUUGACGGUACCAGAUGAAUAAGCACCGGCUAACUCCGUG
rnacentral:rRNA from 1 species